UACGGGGGGAGCAAGCGUUGUUCGGAUUUACUGGGCGUAAAGGGCGCGUAGGCGGUCGUGACAAGUCACUUGUGAAAUCUCCGGGCUUAACUCGGAACGGUCAAGUGAUACUGUCGGACUAGAGUACAGAAGGGGCAACUGGAAUUCUCGGUGUAGCGGUGAAAUGCGUAGAUAUCGGGAGGAACACCAGUGGCGAAGGCGGGUCUCUGGGACGUUACUGACGCUG
rnacentral:rRNA from 1 species